rnacentral:rRNA from 1 species
AAGUCUGAUGUGAAAUCCCAGGGCUCAACCGUGGAGGGUCAUUGGAAACUGGCGAACUUGAGUGCAGAAGAGAAAAGCGGAAUUUCACGUGUAGCGGUGAAAUGCGUAGAGAUGUGGAGGGACACCAGUGGCGAAGGCCGCUUUGUGGUGCGUACAUGACGAUGAGGAGAGAAAGCGUGGGGAGCAAACAGGAAUAGAUGCCCUCGUAGUUCACACCGUAAACGAAGAGAGAUAAGUGGUAGAGGGUUUCCGCCCGUGAAUGGUGCAGGUAACGCAGUAAGCAAUCCGCCUGGGGGAGACGGUUGCAAGGAAGAAACUCAAAGGAAAUGGCGGGGGCCCGCACAAGCGGUGGGGCAAGUGGUUUAAAUUGAAGCAAAGGGAAGAACCUUUCCCGGUGUUGACAUCCUCGGGCAUCUUUAGAGAUAGAGCGUUCCCCUUCGGGGGACAGAGCGCCAGGUGGGGCAUGGUUUUGGUCAGUUGGUCUGGAGAGAUGUUGGGUUAAUUUCCGCAAGGAGGGCACCCUUUGAUCUUAGUUGCCAGCAUAGAGUUGGGCCCUGUAAGGUGCCUGCCGGUGACAACCCGGAGGAAGGAGGGGAAGACGUAAAAUCAUCACGCCCCAUACCACGGGGGAUACACACGUGAUACAAGGGAGGGUACAAAGGGGUGCUAGACCGAGAGGUCAAGCCAAUCCCAUAAAACCCUUCUCAGUUGGGAUUGUAGGGUGCAUCUCGCGUACAUGAAGGGGGAAUCGAUAGUAAUCGCGGAUCAGCAUGCCGCGGGGAAUACGUUCCCCGGGCCUGGUACACCCCGCCCGUCACACCUAGAGAGUUGUGCCACACCCGAAGUCCGGUCCAGUAACCGUAAGGAGGGUAGCCGCCUUAAGGGUGGCCGGG